rnacentral:piRNA from 1 species
UUGCUUGUGUGUGCUUCUGCCUAUCCCUA